CUUACCUGUCGCUUCUGCCUUAUCUGUCGCUUUGGGGUCCUAGCUGCGUUGCCCUGGUAACAACUGUAAACAAAAGGCUGCGGUUAACUGCUCCGCUCCCUGACAGGAUUUUUCGUUCAUUCGUGCCAAUGAAACAGGAGGCCUCGAUUCAUGCAGAAGAUAAGGUACGUAACUGGGAUAUAAAAAUAUAUAUGUAAGAAAACUAUUUAACCUCACAGACUAACAUUGUAUACGGUACAUUCUAACAAUAUAUUUCUAAUGUUUUGAGUCAUUCCCGUUCAUUUGAAGCGUAAUUUCGCCCUUACUGUGGCUAGUUUGGAUGAGAUGACUUGACCCUAGCUAGCAUAACAUAAAUGGCAGCUAGCUCUACACUAUUUCGGAUAUUCGUUAACAAUCAGUGUUCAGAUAACUAGCGCAAACGUGCCGAGAUAUCUUGUUUAUUAUAAAAAUAAACGCUUGUGUUGUGCCAUGGCUUAUAUGGCGAUGACGUUUGAGAUUGUAAAUUUACGGGCCACAGAUGUGUCUAUGGUAAGGCCGACCUGACGAGAUAGCUGCCUACUGAGGUUUGAUUGGAUAUGGACAUUGUUUAUUUCAGAAGGAAAAUGUUUGGAGAGGAAUUGUUUGGAAGACAAUCUUGGGACAAUUUUGCUCUUUGGGUCUUUGUGCCAACCAUGCCAGCUAUCGUAGGGUGCUCUGGGAACUUCUUAGAUCUGUUUACUGUAUGUACACUUACUGAAAUAAGCAUUUUGUUUACAUAAAAUCCCUUGUCAUUUCACCACUAGGUUUGAAACCCAGACACCACGAAGCAUCUUGCCGACGUCAAAAUCAGAUCAACAGACAGGGACAUCAGCCUUCUCUUGGGAAUAGGCCAGAUAUGCCAUAACAAGAAAUGGUGUUUUGCCCCUGCGGUUGUGAAGAGGAUGCUGUGGAGGUGGCAGCAUGAACGUGUCACACAGACAUUGGCUAAACAACUCGAUGACAUUUCCAGCAUGUCCAACUCAUCAGCAUCAGGGGAGAUUCGGUGAAGGUGGUGCACCAUCCAGGACCAGUCAUGGGUCACCAACACCUCUGCAAAAUCUACACUUCUUGUGAACCCUGUAGAAGACACUACAACCACAAAACUGCUAAUAAACCAUCACAUACUGCAUCACA